rnacentral:rRNA from 1 species
AACGAACGCUGGCGGCAGGCCUAACACAUGCAAGUCGAGCGAACCGCAAGGUUAGCGGCGGACGGGUUAGUAACGCGUGGGAACGUGCCCAAAGGUACGGAAUAGCCUCGGGAAACUGAGAGUAAUACCGUAUGUGACCGAAAGGGGAAAGAUUUAUCGCCUUUGGAUCGGCCCGCGUUGGAUUAGGUAGUUGGUGGGGUAACGGCCUACCAAGCCGACGAUCCAUAGCUGGGUUGAGAGGAUGAUCAGCAACACUGGGACUGAGACACGGCCCAGACUCCUACGGGAGGCAGCAGUGGGGAAUCUUAGACAAUGGGGGAAACCCUGAUCUAGCCAUGCCGCGUGAGCGAUGAAGGCCUUAGGGUUGUAAAGCUCUUUCACCGGGGGAGAUAAUGACGGUACCCGGAGAAGAAGCCCCGGCUAACUCCGUGCCAGCCGCCGCCGUAAAAC